GAUGAACGCUGGCGGCGUGCCUAAUACAUGCGAGUAGAACGCUGAAGGAGGAGCUUGCUCUUCUGGAUGAGUUGCGAACGGGUGAGUAACGCGUAGGUAACCUGCCUGGUAGCGGGGGAUAACUAUUGGAAACGAUAGCUAAUACCGCAUGACAACAGUUAUUGCAUGAUAACUGUUUAAAAGGGGCAACUGCUCCACUACCAGAUGGACCUGCGUUGUAUUAGCUAGUUGGUGAGGUAACGGCUCACCAAGGCGACGAUACAUAGCCGACCUGAGAGGGUGAUCGGCCACACUGGGACUGGGACACGGCCCAGACUCCUACGGGAGGCAGCAGUAGGGAAUCUUCGGCAAUGGACGGAAGUCUGACCGAGCAACGCCGCGUGAGUGAAGAAGGUUUUCGGAUCGUAAAGCUCUGUUGUAAGAGAAGAACGAGUGUGAGAGUGGAAAGUUCACACUGUGACGGUAUCUUACCAGAAAGGGACGGCUAACUACGUGC
rnacentral:rRNA from 1 species